UACGAAGGGGGCUAGCGUUGCUCGGAAUUACUGGGCGUAAAGCGCACGUAGGCGGCUCUUUAAGUCGGGGGUGAAAUCCUGGAGCUCAACUCCAGAACUGCCUUCGAUACUGAGAGACUUGAGUUCGGGAGAGGUGAGUGGAACUGCGAGUGUAGAGGUGAAAUUCGUAGAUAUUCGCAAGAACACCAGUGGCGAAGGCGGCUCACUGGCCCGAUACUGACGCUGAGGUGCGAAAGCGUGGGGAGCAAACAGG
rnacentral:rRNA from 1 species